CUACUCCGUUAGUUACGUACGACGACGAACGACGCGAGUACCCACGCCAACAGUUGCCAGCUCGUCCUCCGGGGAUGGUGGGGACACUGUUGGGACCGCCUCUGCUAAAGAGGAGGAAGGAAUGGGCAACGGUAGGUCAGCAUGCCCCGAAUUAUCUGGGCUACACGCGGGCUACAAUGGGUGGGACAAUGGGUAUCGACACCGAAAGGUGAAGGCAAUCUCCUAAACCCAUCCGUAGUUCGGAUUGUGGGCUGCAACUCGCCCACAUGAAGCUGGAAUCUGUAGUAAUCGUGUCUCAAAAUGGCACGGUGAAUAUGUCCCUGCUCCUU
rnacentral:rRNA from 1 species